UUGCAGAUGCCGUUGCUGGAUCCGGACUGGACUCGGGGCGCAGGGUGGGUCUAGUGGGUCCGACUCCGGAGCUGCCGGUCUGAUCCGGACCUGAUGUCAGAGCUGUCCACCGGACAGAGCCUACCGGACAGAGGCGGAGGGCCGUGAGCGGAGCCGCUGCUGCAGCUCUUUAAACCGUGCAGGCCGUUUUCAGCCCAUGGAGGAGCGGGUCCGCCGGCGGUAACGGAAGAACCGGAAUAAGAGGGAGAACCGAACGGGGAAAACCGGAGCUGGUACCGGGACCGGGGGGAAGCCUCCGCAGGCUUUCAUGGUGCUUGUGCACGGAUAAGGAACCGAACCGCAAACCGGGGGAUUAGGACGGACCACGGACCACUGUUUGCAUCGGUAAUUGGGAAGCCUGUUUUCGGAUUGAGCGGCAGCCGCAUCCGACCCCCGACCGAUGGAGAGGGCGCAGUGAGGAGCGGACUAACGGAGCCGGUGUGUGCGUGCGUGUGUGCGUGUAGGAGGGGACGGAGGGGAGACCGGGCA